AGGGCAUUUUUCCCGAUUAUCGGAUCAGAUCAAGUGUGGUAUCUGUCUUAUCAGUUUAAUAUCUGAUAUGUCCCCAAUUCAGAAACCAUAUAUUGAAGGGAUUUUUUGUCUUUUUGCUUCCGCUGCCCUUGGCAGGUGACACAUAGUCCUGUUUAUGGGGGUUCAGUGCACCCCACAUAUUGGACUGUUU